GCGCCCGUAGCUCAAUUGGAUAGAGCAGCAGACUACGAAUCUGCGGGUUGAGGGUUCGAAUCCUUUCGGGCGCGCCA
rnacentral:tRNA from 1 species